rnacentral:rRNA from 1 species
UCCGCGAACGGCAGAGAUGGUCGCCCCCUUGUGGUCGGUGUACAGGUGGUGCAUGGCUGUCGUCAGCUCGUGUCGUGAGAUGUUGGGUUAAGUCCCGCAACGAGCGCAACCCUUGUUCUGUGUUGCCAGCAUGCCCUUUCGGGGGUGAUGGGGACUCACAGGAGACUGCCGGGGUCAACUCGGAGGAAGGUGGGGACGACGUCAAGUCAUCAUGCCCCUUAUGUCUUGGGCUGCACACGUGCUACAAUGGCCGGUACAAUGAGCUGCGAUGCCGUGAGGCGGAGCGAAUCUCAAAAAGCCGGUCUCAGUUCGGAUUGGGGUCUGCAACUCGACCCCAUGAAGUCGGAGUUGCUAGUAAUCGCAGAUCAGCAUUGCUGCGGUGAAUACGUUCCCGGGCCUUGUAACACACCGAA